rnacentral:rRNA from 1 species
AUUGAACGCUGGCGGAAUGCUUUACACAUGCAAGUCGAACGGCAGCACGGACUUCGGUCUGGUGGCGAGUGGCGAACGGGUGAGUAAUGUAUCGGAACGUGCCCAGUCGUGGGGGAUAACGUAGUGAAAAUUACGCUAAUACCGCAUACGAUCUAUGGAUGAAAGCGGGGGAUCGCAAGACCUCGCGCGAUUGGAGCGGCCGAUAACAGAUGAGGUAGUAGGUGGGGUAAAGGCCCACCAAGCCAACGAUCUGUAGCUGGUCUGAGAGGACGACCAGCCACACUGGAACUGAGACACGGUCCAGACUCCUACGGGAGGCAGCAGUGGGGAAUUUUGGGCAAUGGGCGAAAGCCUGAUCCAGCCAUUCCGCGUGCAGGAUGAAGGCCCUCGGGUUGUAAACUGCUUUUGUACAGAACGAAAAGGUUUCUACUAAUACUAGGAGCUCAUGACGGUACUGUAAGAAUAAGCACCGGCUAACUACGUGCCAGCCGCCGCAGUAA